UACGUAGGGUGCGAGCGUUGUCCGGAAUUACUGGGCGUAAAGGGCGUGUAGGCGGUUUUGUAUGUCUGGCGUGAAAUCCCCGGGCUCAACCCGGGAACUGCGUCCGAUACUGGGAGGCUUGAAUCCGGGAGAGGGAUGUGGAAUUCCAGGUGUAGCGGUGAAAUGCGUAGAUAUCUGGAGGAACACCGGUGGCGAAGGCGGCAUCCUGGACCGGUAUUGACGCUGAGGCGCGAAAGCCAGGGGAGCAAAGCGGG
rnacentral:rRNA from 1 species